UACGUAGGGGGCGAGCGUUGUCCGGAUUCAUUGGGCGUAAAGAGCUCGUAGGCGGUUCGGUAAGUCGGGUGUGAAAUCUCCACGCUCAACGUGGAGGGGCCACCUGAUACUGCCGUGACUCGAGUCCGGUAGGGGAGUGUGGAAUUCCCGGUGUAGCGGUGAAAUGCGCAGAUAUCGGGAGGAACACCAGUGGCGAAGGCGGCACUCUGGGCCGGAACUGACGCUGAGGAGCGAAAGCGUGGGUAGCAAACAGG
rnacentral:rRNA from 1 species